rnacentral:rRNA from 1 species
GGUCAAGUUUUUAAGGGCACACGGUGGAUGCCUUGGCAUUAGGAGCCGAAGAAGGACGUAGGAAUCUGCGAUAAGCCUCGGGGAGUUGAUAACCAAACUUUGAUCCGAGGGUGUCCGAAUGGGGGAACCCCGCUACCCGGUGUAAGCCGAGGUGGUGACCUGCACCUGAAUAUAUAGGGUGUGUGGAGGGAACGUGGGGAAGUGAAACAUCUCAGUACCCACAGGAAGAGAAAACAAUAGUGAUUCCGUUAGUAGUGGCGAGCGAACGCGGAUCAGGCUAAACCGUGUCAUGUGUGAUAGCCGGCGGGCGUUGCAUGGUGCGGGGUUGUGGGACUUACCGAUCUAGUUCUGCCGGACUAGGAAGGGGAAUGGUGCAUGUAUAGGUGAACGGUUUUGAAUGGCCGACCGUAGAGGGUGAGAGUCCCGUAACUGAAAUGCAGUGCACUCCCUGGUGAGUAUCCCAAGUAGCACGGGGCCCGAGAAAUCCCGUGUGAAUCUGUCAGGACCACCUGAUAAGCCUAAAUACUACCUAAUGACCGAUAGCGGACAAGUACCGUGAGGGAAAGGUGAAAAGUACCCCGGGAGGGGAGUGAAAUAGUACCUGAAACCGUGUGCUUACAAUCCGUCAGAGCAAGCGUGCCCCUUUGGGGUAGUUGUUCUUGUGAUGGCGUGCCUUUUGAAGAAUGAGCCUGCGAGUUAGUGUUACGUCGCGAGGUUAACCCGUGUGGGGAAGCCGUAGCGAAAGCGAGUCUGAAUAGGGCGAGUUUAGUGGCGUGAUCUAGACCCGAAGCGAAGUGAUCUACCCAUGGCCAGGUUGAAGCGCGUGUAAGAGCGCGUGGAGGACCGAACCCACUUCAGUUGAAAAUGGAGGGGAUGAGCUGUGGGUAGGGGUGAAAGGCCAAUCAAACUUCGUGAUAGCUGGUUCUCCCCGAAAUGCAUUUAGGUGCAGCGUUGCGUGUUUCUUACUGGAGGUAGAGCUACUGGAUGGCUAAUGGGCCCUACAAGGUUACUGACGUCAGCCAAACUCCGAAUGCCGGUAAGUCAGAGCGUAGCAGUGAGACUGUGGGGGAUAAGCUUCAUAGUCGAGAGGGAAACAGCCCAGACCACCAACUAAGGCCCCUAAGCGUGUGCUAAGUGGGAAAGGAUGUGGGAUUGCUUAGACAACCAGGAGGUUGGCUUAGAAGCAGCCAUCCUUAAAAGAGUGCGUAAUAGCUCACUGGUCAAGUGAUUCCGCGCCGACAAUGUAGCGGGGCUCAAGUACACCGCCGAAGUUGUGGAUUUCAAACAUUACCCUAACAGCACAGUUUACUGUUCUUGUUCAGGGGUUUGGAGUGGUAGGGGAGCGUCGUGUAGGCAUUGAAGCCGCAGUGUGAACUAGCGGUGGAGCCUACACGAGUGAGAAUGCAGGCAUGAGUAGCGAAAGACGGGUGAGAAACCCGUCCGCCGAAUGAUCAAGGGUUCCAGGGUCAAGCUAAUCUGCCCUGGGUAAGUCGGGACCUAAGGCGAGGCCGACAGGCGUAGUCGAUGGACAACGGGUUGAUAUUCCCGUACCGGUGAAGAACCGCCAAUAUUGAACCAGUGAUACUAACCACCCAAAACACCACUGCGUGUCCUUCGGGACCAGGGUGUGUGUGGAGCGUGGGAUCUGAACUGGGGAGGUAAACGUAUUAACAGGUGUGACGCAGGAAGGUAGCCGAGCCGGGCGAUGGUAGUCCCGGUCUAAGGACGUAGGAAACACGAUAGGCAAAUCCGUUGUGUUGUCUUCAAUGACGAUUCUGAGAUCUGAUGGGACCCCCUUACGGGGGAAUUCGGUGAUCCUAUGCUGCCUAGAAAAGCAUCGACGUGAGGUUCUAACUGCCCGUACCCCAAACCGACACAGGUGAUCAGGUAGAGAAUACUAAGGCGAUCGAGAGAAUUAUGGUUAAGGAACUCGGCAAAAUGCCCCCGUAACUUCGGGAGAAGGGGGGCCUGCCUCGUGAAGGACACUAGCUGUCCGUGAGCGAGUGUGGGCCGCAGAGACCAGGGGGAAGCGACUGUUUACUAAAAACACAGGUCCGUGCGAAGUCGCAAGACGAUGUAUACGGACUGACUCCUGCCCGGUGCUGGAAGGUUAAGAGGACCGGUUAGCACACUUGUGUGCGAAGCUGAGAAUUUAAGCCCCAGUAAACGGCGGUGGUAACUAUAACCAUCCUAAGGUAGCGAAAUUCCUUGUCGGGUAAGUUCCGACCUGCACGAAUGGAGUAACGACUUCCCCGCUGUCUCAACCAUAAACUCGGCGAAAUUGCAGUACGAGUAAAGAUGCUCGUUACGCGCAGCAGGACGGAAAGACCCCGAGACCUUUACUAUAGUUUGGUAUUGGUGUUCGGAGUGGCUUGUGUAGGAUAGGUGGGAGACUGUGAAACCGCAACGCUAGUUGUGGUGGAGUCAUCGUUGAAAUACCACUCUGGUCACUUUGGACAUCUAACUUCGGCCCGUAAUCCGGGUCAGGGACAGUGCCUGAUGGGUAGUUUAACUGGGGCGGUUGCCUCCUAAAAAGUAACGGAGGCGCCCAAAGGUUCCCUCAGCCUGGUUGGCAAUCAGGUUUCGAGUGUAAGUGCACAAGGGAGCUUGACUGUGAGAGGGACACCUCGAGCAGGGACGAAAGUCGGGACUAGUGAUCCGGCGGCACAUUGUGGAAUGGCCGUCGCUCAACGGAUAAAAGGUACCUCGGGGAUAACAGGCUGAUCUUGCCCAAGAGUCCAUAUCGACGGCAUGGUUUGGCACCUCGAUGUCGGCUCGUCGCAUCCUGGGGCUGGAGUAGGUCCCAAGGGUUGGGCUGUUCGCCCAUUAAAGCGGUACGCGAGCUGGGUUUAGAACGUCGUGAGACAGUUCGGUCCCUAUCCGCUGCGCGCGCAGGAAAUUUGAGAAGAGCUGUCCUUAGUACGAGAGGACCGGGACGGACGAACCUCUGGUGUGUCAGUUGUACUGCCAAGUGCAUCGCUGAUUAGCUACGUUCGGAAGGGAUAACCGCUGAAAGCAUCUAAGCGGGAAGCCCACUUCAAGAUGAGAUUUCCAUACACAGUUAUGUGUGAGAGGCCCCCAGCUAGACCACUGGGUUGAUAGGCCGGACGUGGAAGCGAGGACUAAAGACUCGUGAAGCUGACCGGUACUAAUAGGCCGAUAACUUACACCAC